rnacentral:rRNA from 1 species
ACUCAAAUGAAUUGACGGGGGCCCGCACAAGCGGUGGAGCAUGUGGUUUAAUACGUCACUAACCGUAGAACCUUACCAGGGCUUGACAUCUGGUGCACCGGCGUGAAAGCGUCGUUCCGAGCAAUCGGACGCCAAGACAGGUGUUGCAUGGCUGUCGUCAGCUCGUGUCGUGAGAUGUUGGGUUAAGUCCCGCAACGAGCGCAACCCUCAUCCCAUGUUGCCAACAGGUAAAGCUGGGAACUCUUGGGAAACUGCCGGGGUAACUCGGAGGAAGGUGAGGAUGACGUCAAGUCAGCAUGGCCCUUACGCCCUGGGCUACACACAUGCUACAAUGGACGGUAGACAGAGGGAUCCAAGAUCGCGAGAUGGAGGCAAUCCCACAAAUCCGUUCUCAGUUCGGAUUGCAGGCUGCAACUCGCCUGCAUGAAGUCGGAAUCGCUAGUAACCGCAGAUCAGCGAAGCUGCGGUGAAUACGUUCCCGGGCCUUGUACACACCGCCCGU